UACGGAGGGUGCAAGCGUUAUCCGGAUUCACUGGGUUAAAGGGUGCGUAGGCGGCUAUAUAAGUCAGUGGUGAAAGCCCGCAAGCUCAACUGCGGAACUGCCAUUGAAACUGCAUAGCUUGAAUCUGGUUGAAGUGGGCGGAAUACAUCAUGUAGCGGUGAAAUGCUUAGAUAUGAUGUAGAACACCGAUUGCGAAGGCAGCUCACUAAGCCAACAUUGACGCUGAGGCACGAAAGCGUGGGGAUCAAACAGG
rnacentral:rRNA from 1 species